rnacentral:tRNA from 1 species
GGAGAGGUGGCAGAGUGGUUGAAUGUACCUGACUCGAAAUCAGGCAUAGAUGAAAGUCUAUCGAGGGUUCAAAUCCCUCUCUCUCCGCCA